UUGAACGCUGGCGGCAUGCCUUACACAUGCAAGUCGAACGGCAGCACGGGAGCAAUCCUGGUGGCGAGUGGCGAACGGGUGAGUAAUAUAUCGGAACAUAUCCGGAAGUGGGGGAUAACGUAGCGAAAGUUACGCUAAUACCGCAUAUGCCCUGAGGGGGAAAGGGGGGGAUCGCAAGACCUCUCGCUUUCGGAGUGGCCGAUAUCGGAUUAGCUAGUAGGUGAGGUAAAGGCUCACCUAGGCGACGAUCCGUAGCUGGUCUGAGAGGACGACCAGCCACACUGGAACUGAGACACGGUCCAGACUCCUACGGGAGGCAGCAGUGGGGAAUUUUGGACAAUGGGCGAAAGCCUGAUCCAGCCAUACCGCGUGAGUGAAGAAGGCCUUCGGGUUGUAAAGCUCUUUCAGCCGGAAAGAAAUUGCUUCUAUUAAUACUAGGAGUAGAUGACGGUACCGGAAGAAGAAGCACCGGCUAACUACGU
rnacentral:rRNA from 1 species